CGAACGCAGCGGACCGCACGGUGACA
rnacentral:sRNA from 1 species